GGGUGUGUAGUCUAAUGGCCAAGGCGCCCCUUCUAUUUGAUGCAAGUUACGCAGUAACCGUGCUGACGCGGCAAUGGCCCUUUUAGUAAGGGAGAUACGGGUUCGAGUCUCGUCAUAUCUA